rnacentral:rRNA from 1 species
CCUACGGGAGGCAGCAGUGAGGACUAUUGGUCAAUGGACGAGAGUCUGAACCAGCCAAGUAGCGUGAAGGAUGACUGCCAUAUGGGUUGUAAACUUCUUUUAUAUGGGAAUAAAACGUUCCACGUGUGGGAUUUUGUAUGUACCAUAUGAAUAAGGAUCGGCUAACUCCGUGCCAGCAGCCGAGGUAAUACGGAGGAUCCGAGCGUUAUCCGGAUUUAUUGGGGUUAAAGGGAGCGUAGGUGGAUUGUUAAGUCAGUUGUGAAAGUUUGCGGCUCAACCGUAAAAUUGCAGUUGAAACUGGCAGUCUUGAGUACAGUAGAGGUGGGCGGAAUUCGUGGUGUAGCGGUGAAAUGCUUAGAUAUCACGAAGAACUCCGAUUGCGAAGGCAGUUCACUGGACUGCAACUGACACUGAGGCUCGAAAGUGUGGGUAUCAAACAGGAUUAGAUACCCCUGUAGUC